CCAAUAGCGUAUAUUAAAGUUGCUGCAGUUAAAAAGCUCGUAGUUGAAUUUCGGGACUAAUAUGUUGGUCGUGCCUCGGUACGUACUGAAAUUUUUGGUUUCUCCCUUCUGACGAACCUUGAUGUCAUUAAUUUGGUGUCUUGGGAAAUCAGGACUGUUACUUUGAAAAAAUUAGAGUGUUUAAAGCAGGCUCACGCUUGAAUACAUUAGCAUGGAAUAAUGAAAUAGGACGUUUGAUUCUAUUUUGUUGGUUUCUAGGAUCGACGUAAUGAUUAAUAGGGAUAGUUGGGGGCAUUAGUAUUCAAUUGUCAGAGGUGAAAUUCUUGGAUUUAUUGAAGACUAACUACUGCGAAAGCAUUUGCCAAGGAUGUUUUCAUUAAUCAAGAACGAAAGUUAGGGGAUCGAAGACGAUCAGAUACCGUCGUAGUCUUAACCAUAAACUAUGCCGACUAGGGAUCGGAUGAUGUUAAUUUUUUAAUGACUCAUUCGGCGCCUUACG
rnacentral:rRNA from 1 species